AGCUUUGUGCAGCAGCAGUAUGGUAGCCAAUGAGGUUUAUCCAAGGUGCAAUUAUUGCUAAUUAAAAUACUAAGGUUUAAUAUUGUAGUUUUUGUAUAAUUUCUUAAAUUUUGUUUCCAAU
rnacentral:snRNA from 1 species